UCACACCCACACCGCCAGGGGAUUACAAGCAAUGCUUAAAACCCAAAGGAUUUGACGGUGUCCCACCCCACUAGAGGAGCCUGUUCUAUAAUCGAUGAUCCCCGCUUCACCUAACCAUCCCUCGCCUACCAGUCUGUAUACCUCCGUCGAAAGCUUACCAUGUGAACGCCCGCAGUAAGCUUAAUGAUUUCACCAUCAACACGUCAGGUCAAGGUGCAGCUCAAGGGACGGAAAGUAAUGGGCUACAAUUUCUAAUCUAGAACAAACGAAAGACUAUGUGAAACCCUAGUCAUGAAGGUGGAUUUAGUAGUAAAAAGAAAAUAGAGUGUUCUUUUUAACCCGGCUCUGGGACGCGUACACACCGCCCGUCACCCUCUUCAAUAGUACCCUGUAUGUUCCUAACCCAACACCACGUUUUAGAAGAGGCAAGUCGUAACAUGGUAAGUGUACUGGAAAGUGCACUUGGUAUACUACAAAAUGUAGCUUAACAAAAGCCCCUCGCUUACAUCUAGGAAAUAUCUGUUAAACCCGGAUCAUUUUGAGCCUAAAAUCUAGCCCACUAAUCCAUAUGACCCCCCUACACCUAAACAUAACCAAACAAAACAUUUUAACAUCUUAGUACAGGCGAUCGAAAAAUUUCUAAGCGCUUCAGAUAAAGUACCGCA
rnacentral:rRNA from 1 species